GCUGUGAUGAAUUUGAUUACGUUGAUCGUCUGACGUGAUACAUUUUGUCCUCUAAGAAGUUCUGAGCUU
rnacentral:snoRNA from 10 species